GCGCCUAUAGCUCAGGUGGAUAGAGCACAGGAUUCCUAAUCCUGUUGCCCCAGGUUCGAGUCCUGGUAGGCGCA
rnacentral:tRNA from 1 species